UUCAUGAAUAAAACCUGUGCUGUGGGCGAUUUAGAAUCACUUUAACCUAACCUGAGUAACUGCAUGUGUUUGGAUUGUGGGAGGAAACCCAGAGAGAACGACACAAACUCCAAACAGAGACGUCCACCAAGGUGGAUUUGAACCCAGGACCUUCUUCUAUGAGACAACAGUAACCACCACAACACCCUGCUGCCCCCUGAGUGUGGAGAGGACACAGAUGAACAGGACAGUCAGAUGAAGACUCUUCUGUCCUGCAGACUGGAUUUGUUCUCCAUCAUCUGCACAUGUCAUUAAUUUGAUGAAGCAGUUUCUCUCUGUCUCACUGUGGAUUUUUAUCCUCUGCUUGAGUUUUAUUAAAGGAUCAUUUGUAGUGAAUGUGACUCAGAGCUCCUAUCAGGCAGAGGAGAACCACAACAUCACACUGGAGUGGACGUUCACCACCAAAUCAGACUCGUUCAUCAAGUCACUAAAGAUCCUCUGCAGCCUGACAGCUGAUAAAAAAAAGUCAACUCUUUAUUUUAUUCAUGAUGGAGUCGAGCUCUCAGAGGUUCAGGAUGCAAAGUUUUCAGGGCGAGUCCAGAGUGACAAAGACGCCCUCAGAGAAGGACGAAUCAGACUGCAGCUGUCCAGACUCAGGACUGAGGACUCGGGUCUGUACCUGUGUGAGGUGACCACAGGUGAUGGCAGCGGCUACAACAGCUGCAGAGUCACCGUCUCUGGUAAGAGGAUUCAUUUUAAAGCUGGGAUCACUCUGA